GCGGAAGGAUCAUUACCAAAUAACGUUCCUGUGUCAAACAGGUCAAACCCCCAACCCCGGCCUGAUGGGAAACCAUUAGUGCCAUUAUUAACAACAACCGUUAUGUCGUGUUUAACUAGUAGGUAAAUUGAGCUAUACUUUUUUGGCACUUUUACCUAUUGGUUGUUUAUACAACACGGCAGUUUUAUUAAUAUAUAUACCCCAUUUAAAAACAAACUGGUGGCUAGAUGCUAAAAAAAAAAAAAAAUUAGACAACUUUUAACGGUGGAUCUCUAGGCUCGUGCAUCGAUGAAGAACGCAGCAAAAUGCGAUACGUAAUGUGAAUUGCAAAUCUUCGUGAAUCAUCGAAUCUUUGAACGCAAAUUGCGGUUCCAGGUAACUCCUGGGACCAUGCCUGGUUGAGUGUCAUCAAAAACCCAAACACUAUAUGUGGAAUAAAUGGGGUUCACAGGUAAAGAAAAUAUAUUUAUAAUAUAUUUCUUAAAACUCUGGGUGCCUUUAAAUUCAGGUCAAAAAGUAAUUUGCCUUUUCAUGGCUUUACUCAUCAUACGAUGUUUUUACAGGCAAUUUUUGUUGUUUUGUAAAUUAUAUCUGUGAAAGUAUAAGUAAUGAUUAUUGCAAAAUAAAUACUAGACAAUCAAAAAUGUAAUGUCAUUUAAAAUUUAAAAGACAUUAUAAUAAGAAAUUUGACCUCAACUCAGGC
rnacentral:rRNA from 1 species